ensembl:lncRNA
AGACCAAAGGUGGAAAAGAACUUAAUCAGACUCUUAAUAAUUGUCUUAGCUGUAAUUAUCCGGAGAGGAAUAGCCUCCGGGUACCGAGUGGCGCUGCACAUAAUGGUAAGCAGAAACUGGUUACCUGUUCGAGUUUUUGGUAAUGGACCCACACAGUCAACAAUCACCCUCUCAAACGGUUCUCCAAUCACAGGAAUCGGGUGAAGUGGCACACGAGGAACAGGUUGGUUCACUUUCCCUGCAAGUUGACAUACAUGACAGGUUUUACAGUAUUGCACAAUGUCUGAUUUUAAUUCUGGCCAGAAGAAAUGUCGGAGGACUCUGUUGUAUGUUUUAGUUACCCCUAAAUGUCCGGACCAUGCAGGGUUAUGAGCCAGUGACAAUACUUGCUGCCGUAAUGGUGAUGGAACAACUACCUGCCAAACUGUAUCCCAGUCCUCACCUGUUUUAUGUGCAGUCCAUUUACGCAUUAGAACACCAGCGUCCACAAGCCUCUCUGAUGUGAUGGAUGACAACACAUCACCUAACUGGGGAGCGACCCCGCAUCCCCCUUUCUCAGCCUGCACAGAAGGAACAGUAGGAGGGUCUGAAAAUCGUGAUGCACCGACCACUGGUGAAGCGGAUGUCCUGCUCUGACUGGAUGCUGUAAACACCAUUUUAUGUGUUAAGGCAUAUUCAUCUGCCAGGACCGCUGCCUGACCCAACGUCGCCACCUUCUUUUCACUAAGAUGCAUCACAAUUCUUUCAGACGGGCCGUUUUCAGCUUCAACCGAGCGACCUCUACAGACUCGGGGGACACAGGAGACAACGGGUCAUACUUUGGCAGAGUUCGAGGCACCGGAGUUUCCCCACCUCCCACACCGCCCCUCAACCGUGCAGGCGAGGGAUUUUCUACGGCACCCUCGUCCUCCCUCUCAUCCUCUGUUUCCACAUCCUCCACAGCCAUAACUCCUACCCUUGACAGACUCAAUAAAUGGUUUUUGAUCACCAUUACUAAAUUUGCUUUACGAGCCUGCCUAUCAACUGUAAUUUUGUAGUAGUCCACUAGCGCUAACAAAUCAACCUUACGCAGAUUAACCAAUGAACCCAAUGAGGGCUCCGCAAUAAAGCCUGCCACAUCUGAAGUAGCCGCCAUGCUCACACCUCAUCCAGUACAAUCCUGCACUACUCAGUACUCAAACACCACAAACUACAAAUACUAACAAACUACACGACAGAACAACAACUACUAUACUUUACUCACACCCCAACACCACACCCCAAUCACCGAGCACAGGGCAAUCCGAGCAGCGGGGCGCCCAGAUCCCGGACGAGCCCCCAUUUGUUACGUUCUAACUCCCAAAAGGGAGGGGAGCCUGACAACCCCCUGCUCGGGCCCACCGAUGCCAGCGAAGGAGGUAUGGAGUCGCAGUGCGAGAAAAGGACACAAACACCAAAUACCGUAUAAAAACAAAGCUUUUAUUUGGCCACG